rnacentral:rRNA from 1 species
UACGGAGGUGGCAAGCGUUGUUCGGAAUUACUGGGCGUAAAGGGCGCGUAGGCGGCCUUCUAAGUCGAACGUGAAAUCCCCGGGCUCAACCCGGGAACUGCGUCCGAGACUGGAAGGCUCGAAUUCGGGAGAGGGAUGCAGAAUUCCAGGUGUAGCGGUGAAAUGCGUAGAUAUCUGGAGGAAUACCGGUGGCGAAGGCGGCAUCCUGGACCGACAUUGACGCUGAGGAGCGAAAGCUAGGGGAGCAAACGGG